GGCUGUUCUGAAGGCAGUGAGUUAUCUCAAUUGACGGUUCACCAUGAGUUACAGUUGAACUUCUUGUUCUACUCUUUCCCCUCACCCUUCUCACUACUGACUGCACUUGACUAGUCUUUU
rnacentral:Y_RNA from 1 species